rnacentral:lncRNA from 1 species
UAUUCCAGAGGAUGUCUUUUUCAGUGAUAAGGCAGCGGAGACGUCCCCUGAAAGAGCGGAGUCGACUCUCUCAGAGAAUUCCAGAAGACAUGUUUUUCGGAGAUAUAACGGCGGAGUCGUCCCCAAGGCAGCGGAGUCGUCCCCAUGCAAAAAGCGCAAACAAGCCGAGACGUCCCCGUAAAGCGCCGAGGCGACCCUCUCAGAAAAACAGAAAAACAAGGAUUCAA